CCUACGGGAGGCAGCAGUGAGGAAUAUUGGUCAAUGGCCGGAAGGCUGAACCAGCCAUGCCGCGUGAAGGUCAGUGCCCUAUGGGCGUUAAACUUCUUUUGUGCGGGAGCAAUAAUGGUCACGUGUGGCCAGACGAGAGUACCGUACGAAUAAGCAUCGGCUCACUCCGUGCCAGCAGCAGCGGUGAUACGGAGGAUGCGAGCGUUAUCCGGAUUUAUGGGGUGUAAAGGGUGCGGAGGGGGAUCGUUAGUUCAGUGGUCAAAUUGAGGGCCGCAACCCCUUCCCGCCAUUGAAACUGGCGCUCUUGAGUGGAAGAGAAGUAUGCGGAAUGCGUGGUGUAGCGGUGAAAUGCAUAGAUAUCACGCAGAACCCCGAUUGCGAAGGCAGCAUGCCGGCUUCCGACUGACGCUGAAGCACGAAAGCGUGGGGAUCGAACAGGAUUAGAUACCCCAGUAGUC
rnacentral:rRNA from 1 species